UACGUAGGGGGCAAGCGUUGUCCGGAUUCAUUGGGCGUAAAGAGUUCGUAGGCGGCUUGUUGCGUCGACUGUGAAAUCCCGCGGCUCAACUGCGGGUCUGCAGUCGAUACUGGCAGGCUAGAGUUCGGUAGGGGAGACUGGAAUUCCUGGUGUAGCGGUGAAAUGCGCAGAUAUCAGGAGGAACACCGGUGGCGAAGGCGGAUCUCUGGGCCUUACCUGACGCUGAGGCGCGAAAGCUAGGGGAGCGAACAGG
rnacentral:rRNA from 1 species